GACAGAGGCCUCGAGCGUUAGGCGGAAUCACUGGGCUUAAAGCGUGUGUAGGCGGGCCCGUAAGUGUCUUGUGAAAUCCCACGGCUCAACCGUGGAACUGCUCGGUAUACUGCGAAUCUUGAGCCACUUAGGGGCUACCGGAACAAAUGGUGGAGCGGUGAAAUGCGUAGAUAUCAUUUGGAACGCCAAUGGUGAAAACAGGUAGCUGGGAGUGUGCUGACGCUGAGACACGAAAGCCAGGGGAGCGAACGGG
rnacentral:rRNA from 1 species